CCUACGGGUGGCAGCAGUCGAGAAUCAUUCACAAUGGGGGAAACCCUGAUGGUGCGACGCCGCGUGGGGGAAUGAAGGUCUUCGGAUUGUAAACCCCUGUCAUGUGGGAGCAAAUUAAAAAGAUAGUACCACAAGAGGAAGAGACGGCUAACUCUGUGCCAGCAGCCGCGGUAAUACAGAGGUCUCAAGCGUUGUUCGGAAUCACUGGGCGUAAAGGGUGCGUAGGCUGUUUCGUAAGUCGUGUGUGAAAGGCGCGGGCUCAACCCGCGGACGGCACCUGAUACUGCGAGACUAGAGUAAUGGAGGGGGAACCGGAAUUCUCGGUGUAGCAGUGAAAUGCGUAGAUAUCGAGAGGAACACUCGUGGCGAAGGCGGGUUCCUGGACAUUAACUGACGCUGAGGCACGAAGGCCAGGGGAGCGAAAGGGAUUAGAUACCCUAGUAGUC
rnacentral:rRNA from 1 species